rnacentral:lncRNA from 10 species
CUUUCCUCCCACUCUGCCUCUCUCUCCCCCUCCCUCUUCCUCUCCUUUUCCCCUUGCCUUUCCUCCCCCUUCCUCUCCCCCUUCCUCUCUCCCUUCCCUUCCAUGAGACCCUCCCCAACCCAUCUCUGCAUCUCCCAGCUCCUCCCACUCCUGCUCCUCCCUCGCCCUGCCCCCCUCCACCUAUCCCAACUCCACUCAUCCGCAGCCCAAACACUGAUCUGUUUUAGUUUGCAUUUUCUAGAGUCGUCCAUAAAUGGAAUCAUCCCAUAUGUACUUGAUUUUGUCUGGCUUCUUUCACUCAACAUAGUUACUUUGACAUGCCUGCGUGUUUUUGCAUGGAACAAUCAUUCAUUGCUUCCUGAGCAGUAUUCCAUUUAUGGAUAUACCACCGUGUGUUUAGUCAGCACUUGAUUUAGCCUGCUUUCAAUUUUUCCUGAUUAGAACUACAGCUGCUAGGAACAUCCCUGUGCAAAUCUUUGUACAGACAUAUACGGUUUUUCCUCUCUGGGGUAAAUACCUGGAAGUGGAAUGCCCAGGUCGUAAGCCUAACCUGAACUUAAGCCGGCAGAUGAGGAUAAGGCUCCCCAGCCUCCCGGAACAAGCAGACAGUUAUUAAUGGAAAUGUUCCACCAGUUCAGAGAAAGACAUGGUGUGACUUAACACUGAAGUCAGGAGCAAGGAAGAAGAGGAAGAGGCAAAAAGAAAAAUAAAGUCACAGAUCUGUGGGCAAGGCAGGAUAAAUGUGGUAUACUUUGCUUGUGGAUUUCUCCUAAUAUUAGGCUGUCACUGAAGAAGUCAGUAAACACACCUGCAAUACCCUUUGUCUCUGAAGACCACUACCUUCUUGGAGUAAAGGCAGAAUUGCAAUUUUAUUUUUUAAUUUGUAUUUAUAAAGAGAGAUGAGAGUCUCACUAUAUUGCCCAGGCUGGUCUCAAACUCCUGGCUUCAAUACAUCUUCCCAUCUUGGCCUCCCAAAGCACUGGGAUUACAAGCAUGAGCUAGCGUGCCUGGCCCAAAUUGCGAAUUUUAAAGAAAUUCCUCUUGCUGCAUGAAAAACCAAGCAAAGAAGAACAAUGAUUUAAAAAAAGAAAAAAGAGAGAGAAAGAGUUGGAGAGAAAGCUGUUGAACUGACUGCAGUUCCACCAAGCCAGGGGUACUUUAGUGAAUGGCAGGGAACCAGAGCCAUGGGGACAUAUCUCUGCCUCUCUUUGUAUCUUGGUGUGGCCUCAAGUUAAAAAAAGACAAUUGUUUGAGAAUGAUGAAAAGUGUUACUGAUAGGAACAAAGCAUGAAGAGAUUUGACAGAUGUUCACAUAAGCCAAGACAGAGUUCCGCUUGAGCCAUCACUUCUCAAGGACAUCAGGAACACUUCAGUAGCCAAAAAUGUUCUCUUCCAGUUCUGGCUGACAAAGAGUCAAUGAUCUGGCAGCUGUGUUACUUGCAGUUGUCACAUCCAGGUUUCAUGAUAGCAACUCACUGCUAUUUGGAGGAGAUGCAAGCUCCCAUGGAGGCUGCAGCUGUUGCACAAGCCAGCAGCUUACCUACUGAGUGGUGUCAGUCACGAAGCCUGUCCUCACUUCUGGUGAUUCCUAACCCCUUACAGCUACCAAGUCCAAUUCCAGCCUUUACCUGGUGUAAUUAAACACUCUAAUGAAGAAGACGACUUCACUGGCUUAUACAGAGCCCUGAGCCUGCCUAAGCAGCCAUUGUUUAGAAUGCUCACACCCCACUUAGAGUAACAUGAAACACGAAAUAUCAGAAACAGAUCAGAAAAAGAGACAUUGGACAUUUGUAUUAGAAAAUUUAUCAGUUUACAAAUAAUUCACAGUAGGAUUCCUUUAACUUAUGAACACCC